GUCCCAAGGAGAAAUUGGAGAGGCUCUCCUAUGAAAAUCCAUCUCACCAUUCCUUUUCUGAGGAGUCCACAGGACCUGUACAGUUGGAACCAGCCCCUCAGGCUUCCCUGCCAGAGGCCCUUUUCUCCAGGAGCAGAGGCAUCCAUCCCCUCCUGCCAGCAUUCCAGACCCUGGAGGGCUUGCGCGGUGGCAGGUUUUCCCUUGAAUGCUGAGGUGAGGCUGAGGGAAAGCUUGCAGAGUCAAGACGAACUCUAACUCAUGGGAUGGACAAACUGGAAGAUGUAAAAUAAGUAAGGCUUUCUGGGCCAAAAAGCCUCUUCUUAGAGAAAAUCAAAUUUUAAAAGAACAUUGACCUCAAAACAAUAAAACUGCCCUGGUUAUGCAAUAGAAAUAGCUAUAUAAAUGGAAUCAUAUCCUUAAUGAACACCUCCUGUGGCUACCCAACUUUUCACACAUCUUACUGAUUAUAGGCCUUGCUGUGAAUGCUUUCUUGCUCUAUCUGAAGUAUUCCCACCAGAGUUGUUUCCAACUUUAUUUCCUAUAUUAUGAAAAAUGAAGUUUUUUUAACAUUGUAACAAAGUAUAUGAAAGAUAAUGUAUACUGUAUUAAAUAAACCAUUAUACAAAAAUA
rnacentral:antisense_RNA from 1 species